CUUUAAUCUUUAACACUUCAUAACACUAUAUAAAAUUAAAACAAAAACAAACGUAAAUAACAACCGUUUCUUAUUGGUUAAAAAACAAGAGCGUUCGGAUAGCUAAUCUAACCAUUGGUUACAAUUAAUCAAUGGUCUAGAUUGAUUCUUUUUGUGUUUCUUUGUCAUAGGCCAGACAGAUCUAGCACCACACAAUUCAAUACUCUCUUUCACGCCUCCCUCUUCUGUCACGUUUCUUCCCCUCCUCUUCCACACAAAUUAACUUGCGGUUAAGGGUGAUUAUGAUGAUGAUGAAGGUCGCAGAAGAAGAGAGUCUCCGUGGAGGGUGAUGACGAUGGUCGCAGAAGAACUGACUCGAUGUGAAGGGUUACUCGCCGUGAGGGUAACUCUGGUCUUAAGCUCUUCGUCGUAGACGAUUUCAUCAAUAAAUCAACACGAAUGAAGACGAACGCCACGAAUGGAGAAGGGUGAGAAAGAUAGACGGCGACGGAGGACACGAGACGGCGACAGAGUGCGGUGAAGGAGGCAGAAGAUCUCCUGGUGGUUUGGUUGGUGGUGGAGUGGCACGGCUAUCCGGAGACGCGGGGAGAUGGGCUAUCACCGGAGGAAUUGUGUGGUAGUGCAUGCUGUCGUGGUCCAGUGGUGCUGAGCAAGAAAAAGAAGAGAAAGGCGGAGAAGGAGAGAAGACAAGAAGCCGGUGACACCAUCGGAGGUGGUCAGACGAGGACGUCGGAAUUUGCCGGAUUUAUUUGUAUUUUAUAUAUAUUGUUUGUAUUUUAUUAUAUAUUAUUAAAAUGUCCAUUUUGCUUUUUAUUUUUUAAAAAAAAACUUAUUCUAAAUAGCCACGAUAAAACUGUGACAAAACAGUAGCUAUACAUUUCCACGA